CUGUUCUUUAAUUGCAUCUUUAUUGCAAAUUCAUCUCUUCAUCUGUGGUUCUGCCCGGAAAAUUCGGAAGAGUCUUGCGAAUCUAUCAGUGCCACAGAGCUCUCUAUUUUCAAGAGUGGAACUUAUAUAUUUGUAUUUAAAGUAAUAAAUUAUUGUUCAGUUA